UGGGGAAUUUUGGACAAUGGGCGAAAGCCUGAUCCAGCAAUGCCGCGUGUGUGAAGAAGGCCUUCGGGUUGUAAAGCACUUUUGUCCGGAAAGAAAUCCUUGGCUCUAAUACAGUCGGGGGAUGACGGUACCGGAAGAAUAAGCACCGGCUAACUACGUGCCAGCAGCCGCGGUAAUACGUAGGGUGCAAGCGUUAAUCGGAAUUACUGGGCGUAAAGCGUGCGCAGGCGGUUUGCUAAGACCGAUGUGAAAUCCCCGGGCUCAACCUGGGAACUGCAUUGGUGACUGGCAGGCUAGAGUAUGGCAGAGGGGGGUAGAAUUCCACGUGUAGCAGUGAAAUGCGUAGAGAUGGUGGAGGAAUACCGAUGGCGAAGGCAGCCCCUGGGCCAAUACUGACGCUCAUGCACGAAAGCGUGGGGAGCAAACAGGAUUAGAUACCCUGGUAGUCCACGCCCUAAACGAUGUCAACUAGUUGUUGGGGAUUCAUUUCCUUAGUAACGUAGCUAACGCGUGAAGUUGACCGCCU
rnacentral:rRNA from 1 species